rnacentral:rRNA from 1 species
GACGAACGCUGGCGGCGUGCUUAAUACAUGCAAGUCGAGCGAGGCCUUGGAAUUGGAGUCCUUCGGGAUGAAGAGUCCUUGGCCUAGCGGCGGACGGGUGAGUAACGCGUGGGCAACCUACCCCAAAGUCCGGGAUAACAGUGGGAAACCGCUGCUAAUACCGGAUGGCUUUACCUGAGGGCAUCCUUGGGUAAAGAAAGGUUACGCUUUGGGAUGGGCCCGCGUCCCAUCAGCUAGUUGGUAAGGUAAAGGCUUACCAAGGCGACGACGGGUAGCCGGUCUGAGAGGAUGUACGGCCACACUGGGACUGAGAUACGGCCCAGACUCCUACGGGAGGCAGCAGUUGGGAAUCUUAGGCAAUGGACGAAAGUCUGACCUAGCGACGCCGCGUGAGGGAAGAAGGCCUUCGGGUUGUAAACCUCUGUCAUGGGGGAAGAAGUAAGUGACGGUACCCCAAGAGGAAGCCCCUGCUAACUACGUG